GCGUCUGUAGUCUAACGGCAGGACCUCAGCCUUCCAAGCUGAUGAUCCGGGUUCAAAUCCCGGCGGACGCA
rnacentral:tRNA from 1 species